GACGAACGCUGGCGGCGUGCUUAACACAUGCAAGUCGAGCGGUAAGGCCCUUUCGGGGGUACGACGAGCGGCGAACGGGUGAGUAACACGUGGGUGACCUGCCCUCAGCUCUGGGAUAAGCCUGGGAAACCCGGGUCUAAUACCGGAUAUGACUCCAUGACGCAUGUUGUGGGGUGGAAAGCCUUGUGCGGCUGAGGAUGGGGCCCGCGGCCUAUCAGCUUGUUGGUGGGGUGAUGGCCUACCAAGGCGACGACGGGUAGCCGGCCUGAGAGGGCGACCGGCCACACUGGGACUGAGACACGGCCCAGACUCCUACGGGAGGCAGCAGUGGGGAAUCUUGCGCAAUGGGCGAAAGCCUGACGCAGCGACGCCGCGU
rnacentral:rRNA from 1 species